rnacentral:rRNA from 1 species
AGUGAACGCUGGCGGUAGGCCUAACACAUGCAAGUCGAACGGCAGCACAGUAAGAGCUUGCUCUUACGGGUGGCGAGUGGCGGACGGGUGAGGAAUACAUCGGAAUCUACUUUUUCGUGGGGGAUAACGUAGGGAAACUUACGCUAAUACAGCAUAUGACCUACGGGUGAAAGCAGGGGAUCUUCGGACCUUGCGCGAUUGAAUGAGCCGAUGUCGGAUUAGCUAGUUGGCAGGGUAAAGGCCCACCAAGGCGACGAUCCGUAGCUGGUCUGAGAGGAUGAUCGGCCACACUGGAACUGAGACACGGUCCAGACUCCUACGGGAGGCAGCAGUGGGGAAUAUUGGACAAUGGGCGCAAGCCUGAUCCAGCCAUACCGCGUGGGUGAUGAAGGCCUUCGGGUUGUAAAGCCCUUUUAUUGGGAAAGAAAAGCAGCAGGUUAAUACCCCGCUGUUCUGACGGUACCCAAAGAAUAAGCACCGGCUAACUUCGUG